rnacentral:rRNA from 1 species
AGAGCUCAAAUUUGAAAUCUGGCCUCCUUGGGGGUCCGAGUUGUAAUUUGGAGAGGAUGCUUCGGAUUCAGCCUCCAUCUAAGUGCCCUGGAACGGGCUGUCAUAGAGGGUGAGAAUCCCGUCUGGGAUGGAUGGCUGUACCCAUGUGAAGCUCCUUCAACGAGUCGAGUUGUUUGGGAAUGCAGCUCUAAAUGGGUGGUAAAUUUCAUCUAAAGCUAAAUAUUGGCCGGAGACCGAUA